rnacentral:rRNA from 1 species
UACGGGGGGGGCAAGCGUUGUUCGGAAUUACUGGGCGUAAAGGGCUCGUAGGCGGCCAACUAAGUCGGACGUGAAAUCCCCAGGCUCAACCUGGGAACUGCGUCCGAUACUGGAUGGCUUGAAUCCGGGAGAGGGAUGCAGAAUUCCAGGUGUAGCGGUGAAAUGCGUAGAUAUGUGGAGGAACACCGAUGGCGAAGGCAGCCCCCUGGGUCAAGACUGACGCUCAUGCACGAAAGCGUGGGGAGCAAACAGG